rnacentral:rRNA from 1 species
UACGUAGGGGGCUAGCGUUGUCCGGAAUCAUUGGGCGUAAAGCGCGUGUAGGCGGUCCGGUAAGUCCGCUGUGAAAGUCGGGGGCUCAACCCUCGAAUGCCGGUGGAUACUGUCGGGCUAGAGUGCGGAAGAGGCGAGUGGAAUUCCCGGUGUAGUGGUGAUAUGCGUAGAUAUCGGGAGGAACACCUGUGGCGAAGGCGGCUUUCUGGGCCUUACCUGACGCUGAGACGCGAAAGCGUGGGGAGCGAACCGG